GGGCCCGUAGUCCAGUGGUUAAGACGCCACCCUUACAGCCUCCGGGUGGGUCAGGUGGAGAUCCCGAGUUCGAGUCUCGGCGGGCCCA
rnacentral:tRNA from 1 species